GUCUUGUAUGAUUUUUAAUUUUUAGUUUCUUGUGUAUAAUUCGGAGUUUAGUAUGACGUCCAUUAUCACUGUACUAGUAUACAUAUUUUUUAAGAGGCCAGCUGAAGGACGCCUACGGGUGCGGGAGUUUCUCGCUACAUUGAAGACCCAUUGUUGGCCUUCGGCUGUUGUCUGCUCUAUGGUCGGGUUGUUGUCGCUUUG
rnacentral:lncRNA from 1 species